UUGUAGUAGGAGCUUGGAACUAUAAGCUGGGAAAGCCAUUAAGUGCCCACAGCUCAGUGGGCUAUUCUCCGGGAGCUUCCAUUAAAAUGCAGUCAAAGGAGACAUGGAAUGUGAAGCUUCAGAGAGGAGUUGGAGAGUCCUUUCACGAUUAUCCAAGCCAUUUGCUACUUGGUAUUAAGAAUCUGUGGUUUUGGUUGGCUGUAAUUAACAAGAGACCAGAACCACUAAAGUGAAACAUUUUCUUCGCUGAGACAGCUAAUGCUGAUCAGCUGAGCCUGAGAAUCAGCUGUAAUUACGAAGACAUCAACAUCAUUGAGGCGAAAUCUUCUGGGAAGUGUUUCCUUCACCCAAGGUCAGUACACAGAAGCUGUGUUCCAGAGGGGGAUCCACCAAGGCUGUGCUGUGUGCAGAUAGCUGAACUUGGUAAUACAUAAGAGUUUUCUAGGUGGUGCUGGUCUAGAAAGCAUGAGGAGGUCAUGGUGAGCCACUGGGGCUUCAUACAAUGUGGCUUGCCUGGCAUCCCUGAAAAGAGGCUGGGAGAGGCCACGGGUGAAGGUACACCCUCAGCUGCAAUAGAAUUCCAUCUUUUGAAGAGAUCAUGAAGAGACGCCAAGGCUUGGCACCAUAUGAUGGGAUCAGAGCCCCUGGAGAGAGCCUAGGAGAGGGUAUUGGUAAAGGUGCAGCCCAGUUGCAGAGACUCCAGCAUUUUGGAGAGAUGGUGCCAUGGCUGCAGAGGACGGCCACAGAUGUGGAAUGGAGCCGGCCUGAGCCUACGAGAUAAGUUGUGUGUGCUGUGGGUGGCAGAACCAGAAAAAUGGAGUUUCGAGCCCAGGGAAUUGUGAGUGAGUCCCAGUAGUCAAGCUCUGAACUUUUUAUACUGUUGAACUUUGAUCUGGUUUAGCUUGAUUAUAGCUGUGCCCUGGUUCUUUCAUCUUGCAGUAAGAACAUACUUACCUGCUUAAUAUUUAACAGGCGUCUAUCGUUGAGAGGUUUUGAAAUGUCAAAGAGAUGGAAUUUUAUAGAAACUUUGCAAUUUGGAUAUUUAAAAGAGACAACUUCUAAAGUGAUGGACCGUUUAAAAACAGUGGGAUUCUUAUUUAAAUAAUAAUGUUUUAUAUUGUCACAUUAACAUGACAUCUUGGGGACAACAAAAAAUUUUGUGGCUUAAUAAGUGAUGUGUUGUGUGACAAGCUGAGAAGGACUCCAUUUUUUUCCUUUUUUAUUUUUAUUUUUUAUUACAUAUUUUCUUCAUUUACAUUUCAAAUGCUAUCCCAAAAGUCCCCUAUACCCCCCCACCCCACCCUGCUCCCCAACCCACCCACUCCUGCUUCUUGGCCCUGGCAUUCACCUGUACUGGGGCAUAUAAUCUUCACAAGACCAAGGGCCUCUCCUCCCAAUGAUGGUCAACUAGGUCAUCCUCUGCUACACAUGCAACUAGAGACACAGUUCUGGGGGGUACAAGUUAGUUCAUAUUGUUGUUCCUCCUAUAGGGUUGCAGACCACUUUAGCUCCUUGGGUACUUUCUCUAACUCCUUCAUUAGGGACCCUGUGUUCCAUCCAAUAGAUGACUGUGAGCAUCCACUUCUGUGUUUGCCAGGCACUGGCAUAGCCUCACAAGAGACAGCUAUAUCAGGGUCCUGUCAGCAAAAUCUUUCUGGCAUAUGCAAUAGUGUCUGGGUUUGUUGACUGAUUAUGGGAUGGAUCCCCAGGUGGGGCAAUCUCUAGAUGGUCCUUCCUUUCAUCUCAGCUCUGAAUUUGUCUCUGUAACUCCUUCCAUGGGUAUUUUGUUCCUCAUUCUAAGAAGGAGCGAAGUAUCCACACUUUGGUCUUCCUUCUUCUUGAGUUUCAUGUGUUUUGCAAAUUGUAUCUUGGAUACGUCUUCAAAGACAAGGCCUGAGUACUGAGGCCCUACAGCAGAUGGAAAUGAUCCUCAGGAGAUGCCCACCACAGGAGCUUGUAGUAUAAGUAGCUCUGCAGCAGAGCUCUGGCCUAGCACUGACAUGCCGACGCCCUCUCUCAGUGCCCAGCACUGACCAUGGAAGGGGGGUUAGUGGUGAACCUAGAACCAAAGUUCAAUGACAGAACUAAAUGAGAAUGGGGAAGGGGUUGGCACUGGAGAGCUGGCUGGGUGGCUAAGAGCACUUGCUCUAAGAUGUGUGGACUAAAGGUAAAGUGUUGGACACACUGUGACACACUACAGCUUCCACAGUGAGAGAUUUUUUUUUCUUUUGGGGAGGAAAGUUUGCAAGGUCAGAGAGCUGGUAUGAGGGGUUGGGAAGGUGAGUGGGAAGGUGAGUGGUGCAUGACGUAAAAUUUACAAAGAGCUAAUAAAAAGU
rnacentral:lncRNA from 1 species